rnacentral:rRNA from 1 species
AACGAACGCUGGCGGCAGGCUUAACACAUGCAAGUCGAGCGCCCCGCAAGGGGAGCGGCAGACGGGUGAGUAACGCGUGGGAAUCUACCUUUUGCUACGGAAUAACUCAGGGAAACUUGUGCUAAUACCGUAUGUGCCCUUCGGGGGAAAGAUUUAUCGGCAAAGGAUGAGCCCGCGUUGGAUUAGCUAGUUGGUGGGGUAAAGGCCCACCAAGGCGACGAUCCAUAGCUGGUCUGAGAGGAUGAUCAGCCACACUGGGACUGAGACACGGCCCAGACUCCUACGGGAGGCAGCAGUGGGGAAUAUUGGACAAUGGGCGCAAGCCUGAUCCAGCCAUGCCGCGUGAGUGAUGAAGGCCCUAGGGUUGUAAAGCUCUUUCACCGGUGAAGAUAAUGACGGUAACCGGAGAAGAAGCCCCGGCUAACUUCGUGCCAGCCGCCGCGGUAA